GCAAAGGCCGGGGCGUCACCGGCGGAGGGAGGAACCACGGCGAAGCGGGAAGCGCGGCCCCGGGGCGGGCCUGGCGGAAACCACUUAACCCCUGAGCUCCCGGCCGAGCUCCCGGCCGAGCGCGCCGGCGGCCUCCCCAGCCCGAGCUGGGGUCUGGGUCGCGAGCCCCCCACGCUGUGCAUCGGAGCUGGGCCUGCCUCUCCCGACGCCCCUGAGCGGAAAGGAAACUCCUGAUCGGGAAGAAAAGCAACUCGCUCAUCCACGCCUUUGGGCGGCUGGAGGACAUCAUCCCUGGAAGUAUUUGGGGAACUUUAUUCCAUUUUAAUCUUUUUGUCCUCAGGCCCAGGAGUCCGCUCAAAGGCUGGUUGACUUGACUUGAAAUUAAGGGAGGGCUGGGGGGAGCAAUCCCACACACAGCUCAAUAAAUAUGUUAAAAAAUAAUGAUGGUAGUGGGACUUCAGGAACUAUAACCCAGAGAUAUGGGGGAGGGGCCUCACCCCUCACAUUACUAUUUAUUUUGCCUUUGGGAAGACCCGCACCUGAGAAAAUGCUUUAUUAUUUGGUGGACUCAAAAGUCUCAAAGGCAGGACAUCCUUCCAGUCAGGCCAGAUAAAGUGUCAAGACCGCACAUCUCUGACUCAGACUGCCGUGAGUCAUCCUGAAGCCAGAGGACAUGCACUUUGAGACGACGGGCCUUGCACCCUUCUGGUUGGCACCUUUACUGCCCCAUGGACUCACGUGGCUGAUUGUGCUACGGUUUCACUUCACCUGUAAUAAGGACACUCACUCAAGAGGCAAACGAAACCGUGGACGGGUCAGGCCGUGGAGGCGGGUGGCGGAUGCGUGACCAAGUCCAGCGCUGGCUCUGGUUCUGCUGCCGAGGCCACUUCUCCCUUCCUCUGCCUCUGAUUCCCCAUCUCGGCAACAAAGAAUACCAGUUGUCGGCUGAAUGUAAGGAGCAAACGACUGCUUAAAAGAAAAGAUACAUCAAAGUUCUAAUUUGCGGUGAGCAGGGGCUACUCUUCGUUGCAGUGUGUGGGCUUUCUCCAGUUGCGGUAAAUUCGGUGUGACGACUUUACCGUCUGACCGAGGAUGCCUAGUGGCCCAUCUCUGGCGGGUGGACUGAGAACUAAACACAGAUGAGACGUGGAACCAAGGCUUUCAUCCACCUCUGGCUGGGUAGGAGGAGUCUACCUGCCUUUCAAGGAAGACUGAUGAGCCAGGUAAGCAGAGAGAUGGCAUCUUUUAACACUGGAAAAAGCAAGUUACAUCACUCUUCCCCGCCUCACCCAAUACUUUCAAGUUGACUUGUUUCAGAAAGAAGUUGAACAUCUUACUCCAGCCUCUUCUUCCCACUAAGCCUUGGGAAGAUGAAACAGUUCAACACGAGUAAGCUUGAUAAGGGCCAUCAACCAGCACAGUGGUGGCAGCACCCAGCUGGCAGUGGUAUUUCAGUCUUUGGAUACAACUUCUGGGUCUGCCCAAAAGGGCUGUCAUUAGUAGGAGGGGACUAGCUCUCCCGAAGGAGGGAUGUGUGGGUUAGCCUAAAAGGACCCGCGAGGAGGAAGGUUUAUUUUUGUCAGAAGAUAUGCAUUUGUCUAAUCGCCUGGAGGGAAAAGCGUUGCCUUUAUUCCCGCACAGUCAUUGUUACGAAAAUAACACAACUGGUGAGAAGCGGCAAAUGAGGAAACCAUACACCAGCCUCCAUGAGUUGUAUAAGCAACUGUCCGCGGUGAAGUCUUAUUAAAGUGAAAUUGUUAGUUCUCGGCUUCUCAAGAAGCAUGGAGUCUUUGACUAGAAGCUCUCAGAUGGAGGCCGUCCUGCACCAGCCCUGCUGUUCGGGAGGGCAUUCCGCUCCAAGAGCAGGAACCCACGAGAAGGCGAAGAAGGGCGCGGAUGAACUCGGGGGAGGAGCCUAACGAUGGCAGGUGCCCACUGCCUGGCGCAUCGUCCUCACCUGCGCAUCCCGGCUCCCGCUCCCCUCCCGCCCCCAAGCUGUGGACUCAGCUGAGAAGUGUCUAAGCCCCUCCUACGUGUCCUCAACAAGCCCACUGAAAUAUGCGAGGGGCGGGGGCGGGGCAGUGACAACGAAAGGAGCGUGAGGCACGCGAUCUUCGCAGACAGAAAGCCCCCCUCAGCGGGAACACCCGGUAGAGACUGACAGAGACAGGCAAAGUGAGUCAGAGGCCUGCGUCAGCGUGAAGAUGGGGACUCACUGGACCAGGGCCACAUGAGGCGGCACAAGUGAGAAAUUCUCCGCCUCCGUCCUCGGCCAAGCCUCCUUUGGACCAAAGGUUUUAUUUUUAGUGAAUGCCAUGUCUUCCCUCUUACGUUAUCUGAUAACGUCCAGACUUAUUAAACUGCUGCAAGAAACCCUAACUCCUUUCAUACCUUUGGGGGUUUAGAAACACCUCUAGGAAGGAGACGGAGGAGAACCAUCUGCAAAAAGAGCAGCGCGGAGGAGACUCCACGACACCCGGGUGCGAGUGGGAAGGCGCCGCUCUCUGUGAAUGAGGGCUGCCUGGGCAAGGUCGGGAGGCUGGGUCUCAGCUACCUGGUCGUGCUGGCAGAGCAGCAGACGUGACCAUCACUUCCCUUGAGCUUCCAAGCUAACGCAACAGCCUGCAUCUCAUUAAAAACAAAGUCAGUUUUGGAGUUCUUCAGACGUCUCUGGUUCCUACAACAUAGAUCACUUUUUAAGAGAAUAUAUUAUCAAGACAUUUAGAAAAUCAUUAAACAAGCACAGUAACUUUCGGAGAUUCAUUUAAGAAACGACUUUCUAUACAUGUCCUGGGGAAAUAAGACAAGCCACCCUGACUGUGGAAGAUUGCUGGUUGCCUACCUAAUACCCAUUCACCCUCUUCUUCUCAGAAAGAGAACUUGCAAGGUUUAGCAGGACACAAAGCUGUCUGAAAAAAGGCAACGUCCCCAGCCUCCUUUUCAGCUGGCUGUGCACCUGACCAAGUUCCAUCCAAUGCAAAGUGAGCAGAAAUACUGGAUUGUGUUAUCAAAGUACAGCUGGCACAUGCCUCUGUAAACUCUUCUUCCACCCCUCUUUCUCCUUCUUGUAAAUGGAAAGCAGAUGUGAUGGCUGGAACUUAAGCAGCCUUCACAGACCAUGAAGUGGAAGGCACGUGCUAAACAUGGUAGGGCAAUUAGAUAGGCAGCACCUGGGUUCCUCUUACUGUCACCUGGCCACCUCAAACUGCUUCUCUUGGAACUUUUCUGUGAAAGACAAAAACACUCUUAUUUAAGCUACUGUACUGGGUUGAACAGUGUCCUCCAAAUUUAUGCCCUUUCCAGAACCUCAGAAUGUGACCUUAUUUGGAAAUAGGGUCUUUGCAGAUGCAAUUAGUCAAGAUGAGGGCAUACUGGAGUAGGGUAACCCUAAAUCCAACAUGACCGGUGUCCUUGUAAGAAAGAUACUGGGACAGAACGCCACGUGAUAGAGAUUGAAGUGAUGUGAUGGCCACAACUACCAGAAGAUAGGAAGAGGCCAGGAAGGAUCCUCCCCGGGGCCUUCAGAGAGAGCUCAGUCCUGUCGACACCUUGAUUUCGGACUUGUAGCUUCCAGAACGGUGAGAGAAUAAAUUUCUGUUGUUUUCAGCCCCCCAGUUAGUGGUCAUUUGCUAUGGCAGCCCCAGGAAACUGGUUCAUGUCCUGUUAUAUGUUUUGUCUUUGUUACACAAGGCCUAGCCUAACCCUCUGUACUAACCCUGCAGAACCACUGCUUUUUCCAUUUGACGCCACUGUUCACUCAGGAAUGGGAAAUUUUGCUGGCAAAUGGCUGAUGAUUUCCACUGAUUUAUAGGAGAUGAAAGUUUUAUUACCAGCUCCACUCUUAACUCUGCCCAGACCCUUCCUCCCUGCACCUCACACUAGAUUCAGCAGUGCUCUCUAUGACCACGCAAUUGAUAAAAAACGCAAUACAGUUGGUUCUUUGUAUCCACGGGUUCCACAUCCGCGGAUUAAACCAGCUGCGGAUCAAAAAUAUUUGAAAAAACUUUCCAGAAAGUUCCAAAAAGCAAAACUUGAAUUUGCCCCGUGCUGGCAACUAUACAGCCUUUACCUUAUUAGGUAUUAUAAGCAAUCUGGAGGUGAUUUAAAGUGUACGGGAGCAUGUGGGUAGGUUACAUGCAAAUACUAUGCCAUUUUAUAUAAGGGACUUGAGUAUCCUCAGAUUUUGGUAUGGGGGGGUGUUUCCUGGAACCAAUGCCCCACAGAUACCGGGGGAUGACCCUAGAGGUAAGGGGGGCAGAGCAGGAAAACUGCCUGGUUAAUAAGAUCACUCAGCGCUUACUUUCUAACACCCAGUUUCUCUUUCACUCUCGUUCUGUCAUUCCUCUUCACCCUCUCCCCUCUCCCUACCCCCUACCCCAUCCACUCUGGGCAAGGAACCUUUGGGCCAUCCCAGAAGCAAGUCACAAAGUGCUACCUGGAAAGUAUAUCUAGACCCCUCUGAAGUAGCUGUGGUAACUAGGCCUUCCACACCCAAAUUCCAGAUAUAUAACUGCAAGGACUCCAAAAAGAAAACAACAGUAAUAAUCAGAAUCUGAGCUGGAUGACUGCCACGUAAGAGGUGCUUUUAGCACAAGCUGCACCAUCCUUGCUCUUGGCUUCUCCUCAUGAUGUAACGGCAAGUGCUGACCUGAAGGGCACACACAGCCCUUGCCGACAGCCUAAGCCAUCAGCGCUCCCUGCUGCAGCAACAACGACCCACGAGAAUGAGUGUGUCAAGUUUCCCUUUUUCCAGCAUUGGAUGACUCCACUUAUCUCUCAAUCUUCAAGUUCAUUAAUGCCUCUGAUGCAUCACUGCCAUACUUCAAGUGUCCCCUUAGGCAUAGUAACCCUCUUUUACUGAUGGCAGAGGUUAGAACGGAGACUGCAAAAACUUAAAAAAAAAAAAAUCAAAAGUUUCCUUUGAGUUCAUUGAUACAUAUUAUCAAUUCCCUUAAAACACCACAAACCUUAACUUACUGAUAAAAAAGAAAAAAGUCAAGAAUAAUUAUCCAAAAGUCACACCAAAAAUGUUCGGAGCUCAAAUAAGUUGUCAUUCAUUCAUUCAGAGAUCAGAGAGCCUACUGAUGCUCUCUGAUGCCGGGCAUGUUGGCAGCGUGGACUCUCUCUGCACAGUCCGGGGGUGCGUACAGACCGGCAGCCACAUGCGCUCCACAGUGUGACGAGUGCUAUGACACAGGGUGACAGAGGGGGUGACGGGAGCAGAGGCCACGCCUAGCGUGGAGCUGUGGGUACAGGUAUUAGCAGGCAUUUAUAACCUAAGGGUUGGAGCCUGAAGGAUCAGCAGAAAUCACCUAGGGGAAAGUGGAAGCCCCACAAGGUGGAAGAACUCUGAGAAGUUCUGUGUGGCCCUGCAGCAGGUGCAGGGGUGUGGGAGGGUGACGGUGCAAGGGGAGGAUGGAGAAGCACGCAGGGCAGGAGAGCGGGGGCUUUGUUGGGCAUGCGAAGGAAAAUCAGGGCAGCUCCAGACUUGAGGACACAGACUCAACUUGGAGUAAAGUCUAGGCCUUAGGCUGAAAUCAGGGAGUUAAAGAAAGUUUGCUGAAUUAAGUGAGGGGAACCCCAGCUCACUUCCCAGAACACUAGCUGGGGAAUGUAGUCUUUAUUUUUUGGACAGUUCUGUGUUCAGCUAAAGCUUAGAGGUCUCUUUCUAAGGAAAGGGGUGUGAGGGGUAUUAGGGUAGGAAACCAACAAUCUACCACAGUCAGGAUGGCUUGUCCUAUUAUUCUGUUGUUGUUGUUUAUCUUGUCCCAUGUAUAGUCCAAGUGCUUAGACAACUGCCUGUACGUAGCGCUUAAUAAAGAAUCAUUGAGAUAAUAAAACAAAAAAACCUCAUUUAUGUCCUCAAAGAGGUAAAGUUAGGGGAAAAAAGAAAGACCAGGAUGCCAUGCUAAAAAGUAAA